UUUCUCCCUCCGCCACCCGAGCACCAGCCGCGCUCUGAGCUGCCCCCGGGGUCCCUCCCCCGCCGCCAGAGGAGCAGCUGCCGCCGCCGCCAGCAGCACAUUAGGAGGGCGGAAGGAAGAAAAGAGGGGAGGAAGGAGAGCUAGAGCGCCUGCCCAGAGGGAGCCGGUGAAUGGGCUUGUGGUGACCCCCACCCCCCACCCCACCCUCCCUUCCCACCCGACCCCCAACCCCCAUCCCCAGUUGGAGCCGCCGCCCGAGAGCCCGGACCGUCGUCUUAGGAGGAGUCGCCGCCGCCACCACCGCUAUGGAGCUGAUCACCAUCCUCGAGAAGACCGUAUCUCCGGAUCGGCUGGAGCUGGAAGCGGCGCAGAAGUUCCUGGAGCGUGCGGCUGUAGAAAACCUGCCCACUUUUCUUGUGGAACUGUCCAGAGUGCUGGCAAAUCCAGGAAACAGUCAGGUUGCCAGAGUUGCAGCUGGUCUACAAAUCAAGAACUCUUUGACAUCAAAAGAUCCAGAUAUCAAGGCACAGUAUCAGCAGAGGUGGCUUGCUAUUGAUGCUAAUGCACGACGGGAAGUCAAGAACUAUGUUUUGCAGACUUUGGGCACGGAAACAUACCGGCCUAGCUCUGCCUCACAGUGUGUAGCUGGUAUUGCUUGUGCAGAGAUCCCAGUAAACCAAUGGCCAGAACUCAUUCCUCAGCUGGUGGCCAAUGUCACAAACCCCAACAGCACAGAGCACAUGAAAGAGUCAACAUUGGAAGCUAUUGGGUACAUUUGCCAAGAUAUAGACCCAGAGCAGCUACAGGAUAAAUCCAAUGAGAUUCUGACUGCCAUAAUCCAGGGGAUGAGGAAAGAAGAGCCUAGUAAUAAUGUGAAGCUAGCUGCUACUAAUGCACUCCUGAACUCAUUGGAGUUCACCAAAGCAAACUUUGACAAAGAGUCCGAAAGGCACUUUAUUAUGCAGGUGGUCUGUGAAGCCACACAGUGUCCAGAUACAAGGGUACGAGUGGCUGCUUUGCAGAAUCUGGUGAAGAUAAUGUCCUUGUAUUAUCAGUACAUGGAGACAUAUAUGGGCCCUGCUCUUUUUGCAAUCACAAUUGAAGCAAUGAAAAGUGACAUUGAUGAGGUGGCCCUACAAGGAAUAGAAUUCUGGUCCAAUGUCUGUGAUGAGGAAAUGGAUUUGGCCAUUGAAGCUUCAGAGGCAGCAGAACAAGGACGGCCUCCUGAGCACACCAGCAAGUUUUAUGCCAAGGGAGCACUACAAUACCUGGUUCCCAUCCUCACACAGACGCUAACUAAACAGGAUGAAAAUGAUGACGAUGAUGACUGGAACCCCUGCAAAGCAGCAGGGGUGUGUCUCAUGCUUCUUUCCACCUGCUGUGAAGAUGACAUUGUGCCGCAUGUCCUCCCCUUCAUCAAAGAACACAUUAAGAACCCAGAUUGGCGAUACCGGGAUGCAGCAGUGAUGGCUUUUGGGUGUAUCUUGGAAGGACCAGAGCCCAAUCAGCUCAAACCACUGGUUAUACAGGCUAUGCCCACCCUAAUAGAAUUAAUGAAAGACCCCAGUGUAGUUGUUCGAGACACAACUGCAUGGACUGUGGGCAGAAUUUGUGAAUUGCUUCCUGAAGCUGCCAUCAAUGAUGUCUACUUGGCUCCCUUGCUGCAGUGUCUGAUUGAGGGCCUCAGUGCUGAACCCAGAGUGGCUUCAAAUGUAUGCUGGGCAUUUUCCAGUCUGGCUGAAGCUGCUUAUGAAGCUGCAGAUGUAGCUGAUGAUCAAGAAGAACCAGCCACAUAUUGCCUGUCUUCUUCAUUUGAGCUUAUAGUUCAGAAACUCCUGGAAACCACAGACAGACCUGAUGGACACCAGAACAACCUGAGGAGUUCUGCAUAUGAAUCUCUAAUGGAAAUUGUAAAAAACAGUGCCAAGGAUUGUUACCCUGCUGUUCAAAAAACUACUUUGGUCAUCAUGGAACGACUACAGCAGGUGCUUCAGAUGGAGUCACAUAUCCAGAGCACAUCUGAUAGGAUCCAGUUUAAUGACCUUCAGUCUUUACUCUGUGCAACUCUUCAGAAUGUUCUCCGGAAAGUGCAACAUCAAGAUGCUUUGCAGAUAUCUGAUGUGGUCAUGGCCUCCCUGUUAAGGAUGUUCCAAAGCACAGCUGGCUCUGGGGGAGUCCAGGAGGAUGCCCUGAUGGCAGUUAGCACGCUGGUGGAAGUGUUGGGUGGUGAAUUCCUCAAGUACAUGGAGGCCUUUAAACCCUUCCUGGGUAUUGGAUUGAAGAAUUAUGCUGAGUACCAGGUUUGUUUGGCAGCUGUGGGCCUAGUGGGAGAUUUGUGCCGUGCCCUGCAAUCCAACAUCUUACCUUUCUGUGAUGAGGUAAUGCAGCUUCUGCUGGAGAACUUGGGGAAUGAGAAUGUCCACAGGUCUGUGAAGCCGCAGAUUCUGUCUGUGUUUGGUGAUAUUGCCCUUGCUAUUGGUGGAGAAUUUAAAAAAUACCUAGAGGUUGUAUUGAAUACUCUUCAGCAGGCCUCCCAAGCCCAAGUGGACAAGUCCGACUACGACAUGGUGGAUUAUCUGAAUGAACUAAGAGAAGGCUGCUUGGAAGCCUAUACUGGAAUCGUCCAGGGAUUAAAAGGAGAUCAGGAGAACGUACACCCUGAUGUGAUGCUGGUACAACCCAGAGUAGAAUUUAUUCUGUCUUUCAUUGACCACAUUGCUGGGGAUGAGGAUCAUACAGAUGGAGUAGUAGCCUGUGCUGCUGGACUGAUAGGGGACUUAUGUACAGCAUUUGGGAAAGAUGUACUGAAAUUAGUAGAAGCUAGGCCAAUGAUCCAUGAACUGUUAACUGAAGGCCGGAGAUCGAAGACUAACAAAGCAAAAACCCUUGCUACAUGGGCCACAAAAGAACUGAGAAAACUGAAGAACCAAGCUUGAUCAGACCCAGGGCCUUGUGUCUGCUAGACAAGUAUUUUAAGACAUUGCCAAACUCCAUAGAAGAUAUCCUUUGAGAACCCUGCUUUGGAACAUAGAUCUGUUACCAUUGGGAUGAUAACCUGAGACCCCCACUGGAAAUCUCCAAUCUUUUGAAAAACCCGGAAGUGAGGAGUGUGCACGGAUGCUGAAUGUUUGGGAAUGAGAGGAUGAGUGAGUGAGGCUUGAAAACACACCACAUUGAAAAUCCUGCCACAGCAGCAGCCGCAGCCGCCAACAGCAGCGCUGUUAGUGAGCUAAGUAAGCACUGACUUCGUAGAAAACCAUAACAUCAGCCAUCUUGGAAAAGAGAGAAACGACGGAUUUACUUGCUUACAAAAAAAGCUGUCUCUUCCCAGGGGAGGCUAGAACUAGCUUUUCUGUCUUUUGGCAGUGCCGAGUGGAAUGACUGGUUUGGGAGAGGAAGAGGGACUGGGUUCAGCUGUGGUGCUUUGUUGUAAAAGGCAGCCUGGCCUUUGCUACUGAGGAGAAAGAUGGAGCCUGGGUCUCAAGCCCACCUUCGCUGUACCUUUGCCACACGGUAUUGUACACGCGCAGGCUAGAAGGAGGGUGAGGGAUUUUUACAGUCUGAGAAUGAGUGUGUGUGAGUGAGGCGGUAUCCACAUUCUCAACUUCAAGUCAUUGCAGUUUCUUUUUCCCAGAAAACAAGGGGUUAGAUGUUGCAUUUCAUAAAACUAACCGAAGUUCUGUCUACUGAUGCAGCACAAGACAUGUAAAAAAAAAAAGAGAAAAAAAAAAGGAAAGACGCUCUUUAGGUUUUGUUUUGUUGGUUUUUUUUUUUUUUUUUUUUUUUUUUAAUUAUUUUAGGGAAAACACUGACGAAUGGUCAGAGCUCCUAUCCUGAUCUUUUCAUCAAGGCGCCUUUCCUAAUAAUAUGGUUCAACUGUGAAUGUAGAAGGGGGGAGGGGGGAGAAAAAUAAAACUCUGAAGUUAGAGGAUAUAGAAAAAUAAAAGUACAAAUUGUUAAUUGUUAUAAAUAAAGAAUGCAGACUUAAAAGACAAAAAAGCCACAACCCAGACCAAAAUUUAAAUGCUUGAAAUUGGCAGCACAAAAGAAAAGCUCUCUCCUGACUUGUAUCGUGGCAGUCUGAACGCCCCCAGAGAAUUGUGCCAAAGAGUUUAGAAGACAAAUAACCAAUAAAAGUAAACACACAUGCGCGCACACACAUACAAACAUACACAACAGCAGACUUCAGGUAACUAUUUUGGAUUGCAAAUGAGGAUAAAUUUAAUGUUUAAACAAUCUGAUAAAAUAACCAUUUGGAAACUGCUUGGCCUUCUGUUCUCUUUUAUUUGAUUGACUCCAAUGCGGUAUUGGUCUCUUGCUGCACUUAAAAACCAACUAACCAACAAAACAAAAGUGUGUGUGUCUAUAUGUAUGUAUAGACACACACACAGCAGAACUCAUGAUGAAAGUGGCACUUGAAAAUGGUUAUAUUUUUCCACUGAAGUUUGAAGAUUAAUAAAAUGGUGUCAAACACUCCCCUGUUCACACAUUUUAGUUUUUUGUUUUGUUUUUCAAGUGUAAUGUGCUGUGAUUACCAUAAACCAGAAUCAUUUUCCCUUUUACAAGGGAACAGGGCAUCCUGAAUUUUAGACUUUCAGCAAUAAGAAGGGAUGUUGGUGAGCUUUUGGUUUUUGCAGAUACUAGGGAGUUUUUGCUGGCAUUUGAGUAUGCGGCUUUCAAAAAAAAAAAAAGCAAGGAAGGUUUUUAAAUUGCUUCCUAGUAGUUUAAGGAUUAAAAAGCAAGACCCACUUUCAUUUUCAUCCUGUAAAAAGCAUGGGCUUAUGUUUUUUCCCAUCUCUUCCUUUCAUCUUCCCUUCCCUGAUCCAGCCUUCCAUUCAUAAGUGGGAUUGGCUCGGUUUUGCCCAUCCAUAUGGCAGCAUCUCUAAUAGCUCUUGUACAGGGUAUCAGAUAUUGUGCCUUUUGGUGCCAGGUUCAAAGUCAAGUGCCGAUCUAUGAACCAGUGUACAAAAAAAAAAAAAAAAAUCCAGGUGUUUGAAGGAGAGACGCUCCAUUGUGAAUAGAGAACUCACACCAGCUCCUAAGCCUAUUGAGAAGAGGGCCUGGUCCUCUUAAUGCCUUGUUUCCAUUUUAGUUGUUUCUUGAGUGAGGGAAAAUGAUAUACUAACCAUUCCUGAUACUAGGUAGGGUUGGGUCAGGGCUUAGGGAGGGGCAGGAAUAUUGGGGAAAGAAAGAAAAAAUAAUCUGAUCAUUCCUCAGUGCUACCCAUUUCUGUCCUGUGUGGGUUGCUUAGCUAGACAGCAGGAGAAUAAAGUACACCAAGAACCAUAAUGAAAACAAAACCUUCCGUGUGUUUUGUUCCAGGGAACCAGUUGAUAAGUGCUGUUAUUAAUGCUUUCUCCCAGAUCCAUUCAGUGUUGGAGAGGAGGAAAUGGGCUGGUUGGAUUGUGGUCUUGGUGCCUUGUAGUUAUUCUGCACUGGUUAUGUAUUUAAUCCUCCUCUUUCCUAGAUACCUUUGGCAAGUGGAUUUUCCAUAGUCUGGGUAUUUUCUUUAAUCAGUUGUACCACCUAAGGCAACUGGAUGCAAAUGCAUUCUGUCCAAUCACUGUCUGGGCCUUCCCCCACCCUAGUCUUGGCACAUUCCUUUAAGAAUGUAGUUACCGUCUGCUUGGGAAGAUGUCAGUGCAAAUGUGAAGAAAAUGGGCAUCGGACUAGACUUUGGUUUGCCACAAGUGGCAGCUGCCUAUACCAAUUACAUUUAAUUUUGCUUUUCAUUUUUCCCUGUUCCCCUCAGCCCCCCUCUUGAAAUGUGGAAAUUUUAGCUGUCAGAGGCAACUGUAAUAUUGCCCUAGGGACUUGUGGAGAAAGGGAGGGGAAUUGCUCAGUGUAGUGUUUUAAACUUUCAGAACCAAGCAACUAUUUACUCUUACUAUUUAAGAAGUGUGUUAGUCUGACUUUAAGAGAAAUCCAAACUCCAUCAGCUUUUGAUAGCAUCUUGGUUUUUGAAACAACUUCAAUCUGUAAUUGGCAUUCAGAAUGCCCUUGGCAUGCCAGUCUGUGUGAUGGCAUUAAAGACCUGUUAAAACACUUGAGCCCAACUUUAUUAACCAAAACUGAUACCACCACCUUUAUCUUCUAAAUAAAGUCCGCUUUAUUUUUAUUUUCAA